GACGAACGCUGGCGGCGUGCCUAAUACAUGCAAGUCGAGCGGACCAAAGGGAGCUUGCUCCUGGAGGUUAGCGGCGAACGGGUGAGUAACACGUGGGCAACCUGCCUGUAAGACUGGGAUAACAUCGAGAAAUCGGUGCUAAUACCGGAUAAUAAAAAGAACUGCAUGGUUCUUUUUUGAAAGAUGGUUUCGGCUAUCACUUACAGAUGAGCCCGCGGCGCAUUAGCUAGUUGGUGAGGUAACGGCUCACCAAGGCAACGAUGCGUAGCCGACCUGAGAGGGUGAUCGGCCACACUGGGACUGAGACACGGCCCAGACUCCUACGGGAGGCAGCAGUAGGGAAUCUUCCGCAAUGGACGAAAGUCUGACGGAGCAACGCCGCGUGAGUGAUGAAGGUUUCGGAUCGUAAAACUCUGUUGUUAGGGAAGAACAAGUGCCGUUCGAAAGGGCGGCACCUUGACGGUACCUAACGAGAAAGCCACGGCUAACUACGUGCCAGCAGCCGCGGUAAAG
rnacentral:rRNA from 1 species